rfam:Hordeum vulgare subsp. vulgare, WGS project CAJW01000000 data, contig: morex_contig_1640130
GUUAUACUCCCUCCAUUCGAAAAUACUUGUCCUAAAGUUGAAUGUAUCUAGACUUAUUUUANUUAUAGAUACAUCCAUUAUAUCCAUUUCUGAUACAAGUAUUUCCCGAUGAGGGAGUACUUU